UAGUAGAGAUGGAGUUUUACCAUAUUGGCCAGACUGCCCUUGAACUCCUGACCUCAAGUGAUCUGCCUGCCUUGGCUUCCCAAGGUUCCAGGAUGACAGACAUGAGCCACUGUGCCCAGCAAACAAGAAGUUCUUAACUGAAAAAAAAAGGAUCUGGGAUGUAGAAAAAUAAACAAUUUCUGGUUGAGUGCAAUGCUGCAAGACAUUCCUCGUCAAACCAAGUAACAUGUGAAAAUGAAGACGGAAAUCUGAGUUUUGUGCACUGGCUGUGGAGUAGGAAAUAGAAAAAUCAAAAUUGGACACCUGUUGUGGGCUAAUACUAGAGGAGUAGAAGCCAAAAUGCCCUUUUAUGUUGGACUGACUUUGACAGGUCUUGAAUCUUACUUUGCCCUUCAACUCUCUUAGUGUCAGAUUGAAACAAUUUCAAGAACUGAAGUGUGGUGAAAUAAGUAUUGCAGAAGUUUUGGAAGAAUGGAGAGGGACAAACACAGAAGCAGAGAAAGACAAAGACAAAAAGAGAGAAAUAAUUACUAAAUUGGUUCAAUGUGGUCUCAUUUUGCAGUAUCUAUCAGCUAAUCCUACAAGUAUAAGAAUGUUUCUCCAAGGCUGCCUUCUAUCAAAAUAUGCCCAUGGAUUUAUUUUGCUUGCAUUGACUUUAUCAGCCAUAUUGCAUAUUAAUAAUUAUAAAUAUGUUGGAUAAAUCUAAUGUAAUAUUAACCAUAAUAAAUUGAUGAAUAUAUUUUCUCCCUUUCUCUCCAUCUCUGUCUCUCUCUGCCUCUUUUUCUCUGUCUCUCUCUCUCUCUCAAUUGAGUUCUGUCUUCAAGAAGAAAUUAUCUCUAUUUCAGAAGGAAAAAUCUGCACUUGAGCUUG
rnacentral:lncRNA from 1 species